AAACAUCCUCCGGGAAUUCGUUUCUAUUUCUUCUCCUGCCCAUGUAGCCACCUAGCACAUCUCCGUGCCAUGGCUUCAGAGGACCCAUGAGCCAGGCUCUUACUCAAGGAGCACCUAGGAAAGCAGUGGCUUCUUUUGGGAUAUCACAGUGAGGUCUUGCCUUUUCUGUGGGGAUCGACACAUAUGGUUCCAAGAUUUCAAAGCAGUGGGAUGAAAAUGGAGCAGCUAAUGUGUUUCAUUCUUGUAUUGGUCUUAAGAGUGUGUUCGUAGUCCUGCAGUCUCCAUUAGGAGAGAGUGGGUUUUUAUUAAAUGGUAACCUACCCGAGGAGCAGCACAGAAAGCAGUAGAAAUGCUGUGCUGUAGCCCUAGUUAAAGACAUAAGAUUUUCCUGCUAAGGGUGUGUGUCUCUGUGUCUGUGUGUCCUGUCAUUAUAAGAUUAUCCUGCUGUGUGUGAAUCCAGGCAGGGAGUUAGCACAAGAGCUUCAGGAAGGAGACUCUGAAGACUCCCAUCUACUGUGGUAUUGCACCUAGCCCUGCUGGAUAUUACAACCUCAGUCCUUCCCGUUGGCUUAGAUUAUCAUGGCUAUGGUUUAUAUUGUUAGAAUACCCACUGUCCUUUCCCUUGGAAACUCCUUACUCCACCUCCUCCUCAUUGCUGUUCUGUAGGCUUGCUGUGACCAGUCUUACUGAAACCAAGCAGCGUAUAGGAUGGCCUUUCUACUGUGUGAUGGUGUUGGUUUGUUUGGUAGAAUAGGUGGGAAGGAAAGUACUGUUCUGUGGUUACAGUUAUAAUUGAUGCUAGCACCUAACACUGGUCACGCCAAAGUGCUGUUUCUAUAGGAAUAUUGAAUUUGUAUUAAAAAAAGAAAAGUAAGUUUUAAUUCUCGUAGUUACCUAGUGACUGGUUUGAGAUAGAGGCCUUCAUAUACAUUCCGUGUCCUCCCCAGGAAAUAGCCUGUGGAGUCUGUU
rnacentral:lncRNA from 1 species